rnacentral:rRNA from 1 species
UACGUAGGGGGCUAGCGUUAUCCGGAAUUACUGGGCGUAAAGGGUGCGUAGGUGGUUUCUUAAGUCAGAGGUGAAAGGCUACGGCUCAACCGUAGUAAGCCUUUGAAACUGGGAAACUUGAGUGCAGGAGAGGAGAGUGGAAUUCCUAGUGUAGCGGUGAAAUGCGUAGAUAUUAGGAGGAACAUCAGUUGCGAAGGCGGCUCUCUGGACUGUAACUGACACUGAGGCACGAAAGCGUGGGGAGCAAACAGG